rnacentral:rRNA from 1 species
UACGUAGGAGGCAAGCGUUAUCCGGAAUUAUUGGGCGUAAAGCGUUCGUAGGUGGUUUUGUCAGUCUGCUGUGAAAGCACAGGGCUUAACCCUGUAACGGCAGUGGAAACUACAAGACUAGAGUGCAGUAGGGGCAGAGGGAAUUCCCAGUGUAGCGGUGAAAUGCGUAGAGAUUGGGAAGAACGUCCGUGGCGAAAGCGGUUCUCUGGGCAUUACCUGACGCUGAGGAGCGAAAGUGUGGGGAGCGAACAGG